rnacentral:rRNA from 1 species
CGUAGGGUGCGAGCGUUAAUCGGAAUUACUGGGCGUAAAGCGUGCGCAGGCGGUUGGCUGUGUCCUGUGUGAAAGCCCCGGGCUCAACCUGGGAAUGGCAUGGGAAACUGGCUGGCUGGAGUGUGGCAGAGGGGGGUGGAAUUCCGCGUGUAGCAGUGAAAUGCGUAGAGAUGCGGAGGAACACCGAUGGCGAAGGCAGCCCCCUGGGCCAACACUGACGCUCAGGCACGAAAGCGUGGGGAGCAAACAGGAUUAGAUACCCUGGUAGUCCACGCCCUAAACGAUGGCAACUGGGUGUUGGGGAAGCGAUUCCUUGGUACCGCAGCUAACGCGUGAAGUUGCCCGCCUGGGGAGUACGGCCGCAAGGUUA